UCCCAAGUGGCUCAGUCGGUAAAGCGUCUGCCUCCAAUGUGGAAGACCCAGGUUCAAUCCCUGGGUCGGGAA